CCUACGGGAGGCAGCAGUAGGGAAUCUUCCACAAUGGGCGAAAGCCUGAUGGAGCAACGCCGCGUGGGUGAAGAAGGUCUUCGGAUCGUAAAACCCUGUUGUUAGAGAAGAAAGUGCGUGAGCGUAACUGUUCACAUUUCGACGGUAUCUAACCAGAACGCCACGGCUAACUACGUGCCAGCAGCCGCGGUAAUACGUAGGUGGCAAGCGUUAUCCGGAUUUAUUGGGGGUAAAGGGAACGCAGGCGGUCUGUUAAGUCUGAUGUGAAAGCCUUCGGCUUAACCGGAGUAGUGCAUUGGAAACUGGCAGACUUGAGUGCAGAAGAGGAGAGUGGAACUCGAUGUGUAGCGGUGAAAUGCUUAGAUAUAUGGAAGAACACCAGUGGCGAAGGCGGCUCUCUGGACUGUAACUGACGCUGAGGUUCGAAAGCGUGGGUAGCAAACAGGAUUAGAUACCCGAGUAGUC
rnacentral:rRNA from 1 species